AUGGAUCCUCAUCCACUUGCUAAUCUCUUUAAGAGAUCCAAUUAUGAUGAACCAAUUGCUAGUGAGUUUUGUGCACUAGAUUAUCUUCAUGAAGGUUUGCUUGAAAUUCGUGAAUCUAAAAAUUGUGAUGAAGAAAUUUAUGAAAAGACUCAUGAUAGACCAUUGAAUAAAAAGCAUGAUUGCAAUGAUUUUACUAUAAGUUCUAUUGAUGUCAAUUGUGCUAAUAACAAUGAAAACCCUAAGCUUGGGGAUGCUAAUUUUGCUAUGUCUACUACUUGUUUCAAUGAUCAUGAUUGGGGUGAUUCUUUUUAUAAUCUUGAAAAUUUAUUUAAGCUCCAUGAUGAAUAUGAGAUUGAUAAUAAUGUUUGCAAUAAUACUGAAAGAGGGUUUGGAAGAGUGUCAACUUUAGAUCCCACAUAUUUGGAUAAUGUUCAACUUAUGAAGUUUUUGAUAAAAGUGGGUUCGGAGAGGUCAUGA
rnacentral:rRNA from 1 species